rnacentral:rRNA from 1 species
GACGAACGCUGGCGGCGUGCUUAACACAUGCAAGUCGAACGGAAAGGCCCUGCUUUUGUGGGGUGCUCGAGUGGCGAACGGGUGAGUAACACGUGAGUAACCUGCCCUUGACUUUGGGAUAACUUCUGGAAACUGGGGCUAAUACCGGAUAGGAGCUCCUGCUGCAUGGUGGUGGAUGGAAAGUUUCGGCUGUUGGGGAUGGACUCGCAGCUUAUCAGCUUGUUUGUGGGGUAGUGGCUUACCAAGGCUUUGACGGGUAGCCGGCAUGAGAGGGUGACCGGCCACAUUGGGACUGAGAUACGGACCAGACUCCUACGGGAGGCAGCAGUGGGGAAUCUUGCACAAUGGGCGGAAGCCUGAUGCAGCGACGCCGCGUGCGGGAUGACGGCCUACGGGUUGUAAACCGCUGUCGCCUGUGACGAAGAGGGAGUGACGGUAAUGGGUAAAGAAGCACCGGCUAACUACGUG